AACUCAUAGACUGGACUCUUCUAGAGCCUCCGCAUCGCAACUCACAGGCUCGACUCUUCCAGCCUCCGACUCCGCAUCCGCCUCCCCGGCGGAGCCUCUCGCCACCGCACAGCCUAGAUCCGCCCAGAGGAGCUCAAUCUCCCCCUCGAGGCCCCAAAACGAGAUCCUCUGCAUUCCUGCAUAGGCGCCUCAUCGUUCCUGGCCUAGCACAGAUGCAGACGGCUGCUUCGUUUGGGUAUGCGGCGGGACGGGGACCUCGGAAGCGAGCUACAACGACGUCCCCCCCCCCCCCCCCCCCCCCCCCCCCCCCCCCGCACCGAUCGCCGCCGUGGCCCUGGCUCGGGUGGCCACCAGGAGAUCUGUCCUCCCUCCCUCAAACGACGCCUCCAUCUCCUCGCAUUUCCUUCUCCUUUUCCCCUUUUCAAACAUUCAGGAGCCGAAGGUGCCAGCCACCCUUUGCUCGGCGCGUGUCCCGGCGUAGCUCACGACGCAUCCUCACCUGCCUGCACCGAGCCAAGGAGAGUCGUUGGCUAUGCGCGUUAGCUCCGCUGCUGGGUGGUCACCAUCGUCCGAGCACAACACAGUGGGUACCAUCCUCUCACUGAAUUACUUAUAGGAAGCCUCAUCAUGUAGUUUGUGCGCUACUAGGGCGAGAUCCACCUGUUGUGAUGAUGCUCUAUGGCGCACAUGUUUCUUUUUUAUGGGAACCUCUUCUUAGUAAGUGGGAUGGAGAGCUUUGGUGGAGUUUAGCAGGUGGUCAUCUGAUGAUUAGGCGACGAUAAGGAAGUUUUUGAUGAGUUGCUAACUGCUAGGUUUGGGAGUUUCUCUCAUUUCAGGAUGCAGACAGAUUGAGGAUUCUUUGUUUGUAGAACGCCAUGGAUGAGAGGCUGCUCAUGUUUGAUGUGGUUGAUGACGUGUGGACAGUGCUAACAUGAUUGUUCGAGUUGGAUGCACACGAGAGCCUUAGGUGGUUUGGACAUGUCUUCGAGCCAAGAGUUGAAAUCUUGAUGGGAUUAUGUUGGGGCAGAUCUUAACUGGAAUACAUAUACGGAACCCGGUUGGCAGCAGAGGUAGUGCCCCGGUGCGCCGCGCGCAGGGGCACGCGACAGCUACAAAUAUUCGGUGGAGGACUGGCUUAGGAACCUUGGAUGCAAGUGAGUUUUCAAUUCUUUGUAAGAGAAUUCGAGUUGUGUUAAUUUUUGCUUUGCAGACUCCAAAUGUCAUGGUGGCAGGGUGAUUGGAAGGAAAUUUGUUGAGGUGGAGAUGGACUAGACCAAGGCUAAUAUCAAGGGGUACCUGUGAGGGAACAGGACUACACUGGAUUUGGCUCCCGUCUCAAGAGUAAAGUGUGUUUCAGCAACCUGCUAGCCGGCCACCAAAGGACCAAUUAUCUAUUUUUGUUGAUGUUAAUAUAUUAAAAUCUGGUUAUAGUAAAUAUACAUAAUAUGCUGUCAUCUAGAUCAAUACACAUAUAUGCCUUUGAGACAUAAAUAUGUGUCAUGAUUCAACUUUCAUGAAUAGUUUUUCUCAACGACUCGCAUACUAAUGAUAUUAGCAAAUUAUUUAAAAUAAUAACCAUGAUAUACAACUUAUAUAAAUUAUUAUGUUAUAUUUGUACAUUUUAGCUAAACUAUUUGACAUCUAAUAUAAUUGUAAGUUCAUAAGCGUAGAUAUAUUUUCUAGAUAUGAGCUUAGCGGUAGGUAAUUUUGCUUAUCUAUUACCGUAAUAAGCUUGAUGACUGAGGUAGACAUCUGAUUUAUAUUUAAUCUAACUGUUUCUCUAUGUGAAUGGAUACAUAUAUUAACUCAGGUAGCACUACAACUAGCAAUGUAUGGAUGAAUUGAAGGAAGUAAAAGAAGGCAGACAAUCUUAUAGAAACUCUGCAUAUUGAAACCGCCAUGAUUGGCAAAGAAGUUGGAUGCAUCUUUGCAUUGGUGUGUUCUUAUCACCAAGCAGUAAUGUGAAGCAAGUUCAUUUGUUGACUAAGAACGGAUCAACACAAAUUAGUGAAGAUUUUGUUCACAAGAGAUGCAGGAUGGAGAGGUGGUAGAUUUCAAUAUGGCUUUGAUACUAUUUUUUCCACUUACAAUAUUUUGUAUGGAACAAGAAAAAACAAUGUAUGUGGUUACUAUUGUAAUUCAAGAAUUUAUUUCUAAAUAAUAAAUAUAUUUGUUUAUAUUU